ACGGGGUGCAGCAGGCGCGGAAACUUCACACUUGGGGGAACCCCGAUGAGGGAAAUCCUAGUGCUAGGACAUUUGUUCUAGCUUUUCUCAAGCCGUAGAUAACUUGAAGGAAUAAGGGCUGGGUAAGACGGGUGCCAGCCGCCGCGGUAAUACCUGCAGCCCAAGUGGUGGUCGAUUUUAUUGAGUCUAAAACGUUCGUAGCCGGUUUGGUAAAUCUUUGGGUAAAUCGGGAAGCUUAACUUUCCGACUUCCGAAGAGACUGUCAAACUUGGGACCGGGAGAGGCUAGAGGUACUUCUGGGGUAGGGGUAAAAUCCUGUAAUCCUAGAAGGACCACCGGUGGCGAAGGCGUCUAGCUAGAACGGAUUCGACGGUGAGGGACGAAGCCCUGGGUCGCAAACGGGAUUAGAUACCCCGGUAGUCCAGGGUGUAAACGCUGCCGACUUGGUGCUGGAGGCCCUUCGGGGGCAUUCAGUGCCGGAGAGAAGUUGUUAAGUCUGCUACUUGGGGAUGUACGUCCGCAAGGAUGAAACUUAAAGGAAUUGGCGGGGGAGCAC
rnacentral:rRNA from 1 species